GCCAGGUGUGGUCGUGGGCACCUGUAAUCCCAGCUACUCAGGAGGCUGAGACAGGAGAAUCGCUUGAACCCGGGAGGCAGAGGUUGCAGUGAGCUGAGAUCAUGCCACUGCACUCCAGCCUGGGUGACAGAGCGAGACUCUGUCUCAA
rnacentral:SRP_RNA from 2 species